rnacentral:rRNA from 1 species
CAGUCGCCACGGUAAUACGUAGGUGGCAAGCGUUGUCCGGAAUUAUUGGGCGUAAAGGGCUCGCAGGCGGUUUCCUAAGUCUGAUGUGAAAGCCCCCGGCUCAACCGGGGAGGGUCAUUGGAAACUGGGAAACUUGAGUGCAGAAGAGGAGAGUGGAAUUCCACGUGUAGCGGUGAAAUGCGUAGAGAUGUGGAGGAACACCAGUGGCGAAGGCGACUCUCUGGUCUGUAACUGACGCUGAGGAGCGAAAGCGUGGGGAGCGAACAGGAUUAGAUACCCGAGUAGUCCCUGUCUCUUAUAC